GAUGAAGAACGCAGUGAAAUGCGAUACGUAAUGUGAAUUGCAGAAUUCAGUGAAUCAUCGAAUCUUUGAACGCACAUUGCGCCUGCCAGCACUCUGGCAGGCAUGCCUGUUCGAGCGUCAUUUCAACCAUCAAGCCCUAGGCUUGCGUUGGAGCCCUGCGGCUGCCGCAGGCCCCUAAAAGCAGUGGCGGGCUCGCUAUCACACCGAGUGCAGUAGAUUACUCUUCGCUCAGGGCGUGUGGCGGGUUCCAGCCGUGAAACCCCUACUUCUCAAGGUUGACCUCGGAUCAGGUAGGAAUACCCGCUGAACUUAAGCAUAUCAAUAAGCGGAGGA
rnacentral:misc_RNA from 1 species